GAGUUUGAUCCUGGCUCAGGAUGAACGCUAGCGGCAGGCUUAACACAUGCAAGUCGAACGGGAACAGGAAAAGCAAUAUCUGCUGACGAGUGGCGCACGGGUGAGUAACGCGUAUGCAAUCUGCCCUAUACUGGGGAAUAGCUCGAAGAAAUUCGGAUUAAUACCCCAUACCGCUUUUAUCAGGCAUCUGAUAAGAGUGAAAGCUCCGGCGGUUAAAGAUGGGCAUGCGUGACAUUAGUUUGAUGGUAAGGUAACGGCUUACCAUGACAUCGAUGUCUAUGGGGUCUUAAAGGAUGGUCCCACACACUGGUACUGAGACACGGACCAGACUCCUACGGGAGGCAGCAGUGAGGAAUAUUGGUCAAUGGGCGCAAGCCUGAACCAGCCAUGCCGCGUGUAGGAUGAAUGCCCUAUGGGUUGUAAACUACUUUUAUAUGGGAAGAAACCUCCGGACGUGUUCGGAGCUGACGGUACCGUAAGAAUAAGCACCGGCUAACUCCGUGCCAGCAGCCGCGGUAAUACGGAGGGUGCAGGCGUUAUCCGGAUUUAUUGGGUUUAAAGGGUGCGCAGGCGGGCUAUUAAGUCAGCGGUGAAAUCCUACAGCUUAACUGUAGAACUGCCGUUGAUACUGAUAGUCUUGAGUAUAGUUGAGGUAGGCGGAAUGUGUCAUGUAGCGGUGAAAUGCUUAGAUAUGACACAGAACACCGAUUGCGUAGGCAGCUCACUAAACUAUCACUGACGCUGAGGCACGAAAGCGUGGGGAGCGAACAGGAUUAGAUACCCUGGUAGUCCACGCCGUAAACGAUGAUUACUCGUUGUGUGCGAUAUAUUGUACGCGACUAAGCGAAAGUAUUAAGUAAUCCACCUGGGGAGUACGUCGGCAACGAUGAAACUCAAAGGAAUUGACGGGGGCCCGCACAAGCGGAGGAACAUGUGGUUUAAUUCGAUGAUACGCGAGGAACCUUACCUGGGCUUAAAUGUAGAACGACGUACCGGGAAACUGGUAUUCCCUUCGGGGCGCACUACAAGGUGCUGCAUGGUUGUCGUCAGCUCGUGCCGUGAGGUGUCGGGUUAAGUCCCAUAACGAGCGCAACCCCUAUUGUUAGUUGCCAGCGGAUAAUGCCGGGGACUCUAACAAGACUGCCAUCGUAAGAUGUGAGGAAGGUGGGGAUGACGUCAAAUCAGCACGGCCCUUAUGUCCAGGGCUACACACGUGUUACAAUGGUCGGUACAAAGGGCAGCUACCUGGUGACAGGAUGCUAAUCUCAAAAACCGAUCUCAGUUCGGAUCGAAGUCUGCAACUCGACUUCGUGAAGUUGGAUUCGCUAGUAAUCGUAUAUCAGCAACGAUACGGUGAAUACGUUCCCGGGCCUUGUACACACCGCCCGUCAAGCCAUGGAAGCUGGGGGUACCUGAAGUCCGUAACCGCAAGGAUCGGCCUAGGGUAAAACUAGUGACUGGGGCUAAGUCGUAACAAGGUAGCCGUACCGGAAGGUGUGGCUGGAACACCUCCCU
rnacentral:rRNA from 1 species